GCUGCCCUCUUUCUUCGUGCCUAAUACAUGCAAGUCGAGCGAACAGACGAGGAGCUUGCUCCUCUGACGUUAGCGGCGGACGGGUGAGUAACACGUGGAUAACCUACCUAUAAGACUGGGAUAACUUCGGGAAACCGGAGCUAAUACCGGAUAAUAUAUUGAACCGCAUGGUUCAAUAGUGAAAGACGGUUUUGCUGUCACUUAUAGAUGGAUCCGCGCCGCAUUAGCUAGUUGGUAAGGUAACGGCUUACCAAGGCGACGAUGCGUAGCCGACCUGAGAGGGUGAUCGGCCUCACUGGAACUGAGACACGGUCCAGACUCCUACGGGAGGCAGCAGUAGGGAAUCUUCCGCAAUGGGCGAAAGCCUGACGGAGCAACGCCGCGUGAGUGAUGAAGGUCUUCGGAUCGUAAAACUCUGUUAUUAGGGAAGAACAAAUGUGUAAGUAACUAUGCACGUCUUGACGGUACCUAAUCAGAAAGCCACGGCUAACUACGUG
rnacentral:rRNA from 1 species